rnacentral:rRNA from 1 species
GUUAGGAAUAUUGGACAAUGGGCGAAAGCCUGAUCCAGCCAUGCCGCGUGAACGAUGAAGGCCUUCGGGUUGUAAAGUUCUUUAGCCGAUGAUUAUAAUGACUGUAGUCGGAAAAUAAGCCCCGGCUAACUUCGUGCCAGCACCCGCGGUAAUACGAAGGUGGCGAGCGUUAUUCGGAAUCACUGGGCGUAAAGCGUUCGUAGGCGGUUUUGUAAGUUAGGAGUGAAAGCCCAGGGCUCAACCUUGGAAUUGCUCUUAAAACUGCAAGGCUCGAAUCUCGGAGAGGAUAGCGGAAUUUCCAGUGUAGCAGUGAAAUGCGUAGAUAGUGGAAGGAACACCAGUGGCGUAAGCGGCUAUCUGGACGAGUAUUGACGCUGAGGCACGAAAGCGUGGGGAUCAAACAGGAUUAGAAACCCGGGUAGUCC